rnacentral:tRNA from 1 species
GGAGAGGUGUCCGAGCGGUUUAAGGAGCUAGUCUUGAAAACUAGUGAUUCCGAAAGGAACCAAGGGUUCGAAUCCCUUCCUCUCCGCCA